UCUACCGUUAUUAAAGAUACUAUGUUUUGUGAAGUCAUAACUUUGUCAUGGCUACAGCACCUCUCAGGAAAAGUCGUUCGUGUGAUGCUUGAUUAUGUUGACCAAGUUCAAAUCUGUUCAAAAUUGAAAGCCGUGCUCGAAAAACAAAAGCUCUGGCCAGAAAUACAUGUUAUCUUGACAAACCCCCGUUCUCUACAACACUUAUGCCGCCUCAAGAUCCGGAAGUGCAUGGGACGGUUACGCCUGCGCUGCCCGGUCUUCAUGUCGUUUCUUCCGCUGCCCAAUCUCUUAAAAGCUUACGUCCUUUACAAGGAGUAUGACCUUUAUGGUCAAGGAAGCUCUACAGGCACACGGUAAACUGGGCUCUGCUGGACGGAGAGGUAAAAGCUGCAACAUCCUUCUUAACAAUUCGCUUGUUGGCAAUGACUUUUUCUUUUCUUCACUCAGUAAUUAAAGUCUCAGAGUAGA
rnacentral:lncRNA from 1 species